rnacentral:lncRNA from 1 species
UUAAAAAAGAAAACUAUAUGAUGGAGAUCUAUGUAAUUCAUAUUUUAAAUUUAUGUGGUAUUUGCUAAGAUUAAAGAAAAAAAAUAUAAUGGUGAGUAAAAGAAAGAACAAUAUAAGGAAGAAUGAUUAAGUAAAUGUUGCAUUUAUUAAGCACUUUAUAUAUACAAAGCACUACACUAAACAAUGGGAAUACAAAUAGAAAAACAAGAUAGGAACAACUAGGUGGCUCAGUGGAUCUAGAGAGUCAGACCUGGAGACAAGGGUCUUGGGUUCAAAUGUGAUCUCAGACACUUCCUAGCUGUGUAACCCUGGGCAAGUCACUUAACCCCCAUUACCUAGCCCUUGUUGCUCUUCUACCGUGGAACCAAUAUACUAUUGAUUUUAAGAUGAAAGGUAAGGAUUAAAAAAAAAAAAGACAAGCAGCUCAUUCUGUAAUGGAGGAGGCAACCAUGAAAAUUUUCAGCUCCAAAUCAUAUGGGAAAAUCCUCUGGUUGGUCAUUAGAGUGAAGUGGCACAGCAAUUGUUAAUGCUUCUUCCUCCAUGUCAUUUUCACUAAUGAAAUCAUAUGUUUUCGAUGUUGAACUAUUUGACAGGGCCAAGAACGUUGGUGACAAGAACUUUUCUUCCCGGGUCAUCAGUAGCUGUGGCUGUUAGCACCUGCAGGAGCAUUUGCAGGCUUCAUCUUCCCAGGAUGAUAUCUUAGAGCACUAAGCCGGAGACAUCGUUCUUCUCAAGGUUCUUGGUUUCAGGGUUCUGGGCAGUCUCCAACAUGUUCUGAUGGGAGAUGGUGAUCCGUGGAUGGUGGGGAUUAGAAAUAUUUCUAAAGUCGAUGAAAAUGAUGAGAAACAAUACUUAUCCGGAUUCAGUAUCUUGGGGCUCCUUCGGAUUUUCUCAUAGAUGUCUUCAGGAAUCCUUCAGAUUCUAGGCUGCAGGAAAAUCUGGUCCAGGCUUGCCAAAAAGGCUCCUAAGAAACAUCUUGAGGUCAUUUUACAGAUGAUGAAACUGAGGCAGUGUAUAGUGACUUGCCCAAGAUUGCAUCCCUAGGGAGUGUCUGAAGACAGAUUUAAACUCAGGAAGAUGUUUUGCUGAUUUCAGGUCCAGUAUUCUAUUCAUAGCACCAUCUAGCUGCCCAGGAAUAUCUAGUAUACCUCUUUAUCAAGAUAAGCAAUAAAUACAAAUAAGAAAAAUAAUAGAGAAGGCA